rnacentral:rRNA from 1 species
UACGUAGGGACCGAGCGUUGUCCGGAAUCAUUGGGCGUAAAGAGCGUGUAGGCGGCUUGUUAAGUCUUGCGUGAAAUCUCGGGGCUCAACCCCGAGCGGUCGUGAGAAACUGGCAGGCUAGAGUGCGGGAGAGGAGAGUGGAAUUCCUGGUGUAGCGGUGAAAUGCGCAGAUAUCAGGAGGAACACCGGUGGCGAAGGCGGGACUCUGGGCCGAUACUGACGCUGAGGAGCGAAAGCGUGGGGAGCAAACAGG